GGGGGCCUUCCGGGAGACAGUGGAGCCGGAGGGCGGCGCGCCGUCGACCUUGUUGAGCAGCGGGUCGGUCUCGACGAGCUGGUCCUUCUUGAAGAUGAAGCCGAAGAUGAAGUCGGCGAGGCUCUUCUCCUCCUCCGCCGGCGCCGGCUUCCCCCUCGUGGCGCCGACCGCCAUCGCCACCCGCGACGGCCGCCUCCGCCCAGCCGACGACGACGACGCCGACGGCGCCACGCCCGCCGCCGCCACUCUGCUCCCGAAUCCCACCGAAGCCAUGAUUCUUAGCUCAGCUCUAGC
rnacentral:misc_RNA from 1 species